GCAAUCAUGGUUGCAUUGGUUAAGAGCGUGGUGCUGACAAGGCCAAGGUUGUGGGUUCGAUUCCCAUGUGGGGCAGCUGCA